rnacentral:piRNA from 1 species
UACCUAUAUAAUCAAAAUCAGGCUUUCUGCC